GACGUCGUGGUCGAGUGGUAAGGACACUUGCCUCUCACCCUGGAGUCCCGGGUUCGAUCCCCGAGGAUUUUU